GGGUUGUUUGUGUGUUUUUCUCUCCCUACUACCAGGUGGUGCCCUGUCCUCGUCGGGCCUCACUGCACACCUGUGGCUCGUUGGAUCAUUACUGGAGGAGUAUUUGAGCAGUGGUCUGUCACUACCUCGACGCCAGAGUGUUUGCCAGGAAGCCUUCCUGAGUAACUGGAUACCGGGAAGUUCUCCCCCUGGAAGGAUUAACUGAGUAUACACUAAGCAGGAGAAAACCUCCACAUGAUCCGUUCAAGUCCUCAUCGGAAAUCCAAGUGACAGUCCGAUCCUUUAGUCCUCUGGGUCCAACGCGUGUCUGUCUGCCCUCCAAGUUCCCUCUUCUGUGAAUUAACCUCCACAAGUUGGAUUCAAUAAUUGACUAGAGCCCCCUCUAACACUUUCCAGUUCGGGUUCACCAGUCCGCUGAGUUCCCGAUCCAACUUCUGUUAUUCAUCUACAUUUAAUAA